GUGCCAGCCGCCGCGGUAAUACCGGCAGCCCGAGUGAUGGCCGCUAUUAUUGGGCCUAAAGCGUCCGUAGCCGGCCAGACAAGUCCGUUGGGGAAUCGGCGCGCUCAACGCGUCGGCGUCCGGCGGAAACUGUCUGGCUUGGGGCCGGAAGACCUGAGGGGUACGUCCGGGGUAGGAGUGAAAUCCCGUAAUCUCGGACGGACCGCCGGUGGCGAAAGCGCCUCAGGAAGACGGACCCGACGGUGAGGGACGAAAGCCAGGGUCUCGAACCGGAUUAGAUACCCUGGUAGUCC
rnacentral:rRNA from 1 species